rnacentral:rRNA from 1 species
AUGUAUGCGGACCAGAUCUCCACCGGCCGCAAGCGCUCCAUCCAUGACCGCCUUGACGCCGACCUCGCCCCCGACCGCGGCGGCGCGGACGCCGCCGGCCGGGCUCGUAACGCGCUGUCCAAGAGGCAACGACAAACUGAUGAUAAAUGGAAGCAUGAUCUUUACCGGGAUGAUGAAUCAGCUUCAAGAUCAGUUGAUCCACGGGAUUUGCGAUUCAAGCUUCAGAGGAAAAGCUCUCAGCAAGGGUUUGCUGGCCAAAAGGGUUCCGAGGUACGUGAUCUACGUGAGAUGUUAUCUGGAACAAUGCACGCACAACCAUCAAAUGUUGAUCCUCAAAAGAGGAAACCGGUGUCAGAGGUUGUGAAAGUCACAAGGCGUGAAAAUGUUGAUGGAAGGCCUGUACGCCUAAGUAAGAAAGUAUCAAAACCAUCAACAUCCAAGAAGACUUCUCAGCCAAAGGCUGAAAGUCCACUCGACAGUUUUCUGAAAUCACUAGGACUUGAGAAGUAUUCUAUUACCUUCCAGGCGGAGGAGUUGACAAUUGUUGUUUUGCAGGUUGACAUGGCGGCCCUACGUCACAUGACUGAAAGCGAUCUCAAGGCGUUGGGCAUCCCGAUGGGUCCUAGGAAGAAGAUUACCCUUGCCUUGGAAUCCAGAGCGUAG